CGAGCGCCCCGACGGGAGCUUGCUCCCUUAGGUUAGCGGCGGACGGGUGAGUAACACGUGGGUAACCUGCCUGUAAGACUGGGAUAACUCCGGGAAACCGGGGCUAAUACCGGAUGCUUGAUUGAACCGCAUGGUUCAAUCAUAAAAGGCGGCUUCGGCUGCCGUUUACAGAUGGACCCGCGGCGCAUUAGCUAGUUGGUGAGGUAACGGCUCACCAAGGCGACGAUGCGUAGCCGACCUGAGAGGGUGAUCGGCCACACUGGGACUGAGACACGGCCCAGACUCCUACGGGAGGCAGCAGUAGGGAAUCUUCCGCAAUGGACGAAAGUCUGACGGAGCAACGCCGCGUGAGUGAUGAAGGUUUUCGGAUCGUAAAGCUCUGUUGUUAGGGAAGAACAAGUACCGUUCGAAUAGGGCGGUACCUUGACGGUACCUAACCAGAAAGCCACGGCUAACUACGUGCCAGCAGCCGCGGUAAUACGUAGGUGGCAAGCGUUGUCCGGAAUUAUUGGGCGUAAAGCGCGCGCAGGCGGUUUCUUAAGUCUGAUGUGAAAGCCCCCGGCUCAACCGGGGAGGGUCAUUGGAAACUGGGGAACUUGAGUGCAGAAGAGGAGAGUGGAAUUCCACGUGUAGCGGUGAAAUGCGUAGAGAUGUGGAGGAACACCAGUGGCGAAGGCGACUCUCUGGUCUGUAACUGACGCUGAGGCGCGAAAGCGUGGGGAGCGAACAGGAUUAGAUACCCUGGUAGUCCACGCCGUAAACGAUGAGUGCUAAGUGUUAGAGGGUUUCCGCCCUUUAGUGCUGCAGCAAACGCAUUAAGCACUCCGCCUGGGGAGUACGGUCGCAAGACUGAAACUCAAAGGAAUUGACGGGGGCCCGCACAAGCGGUGGAGCAUGUGGUUUAAUUCGAAGCAACGCGAAGAACCUUACCCCGUCUUGACAUCCUCUGACACCCCUAGAGAUAGGGCUUCUU
rnacentral:rRNA from 1 species